rnacentral:rRNA from 1 species
AGAGUUUGAUCAUGGCUCAGAAUCAACGCUGGCGGCGUGCCUAACACAUGCAAGUCGCACGAGAAAGGGGAGCAAUCCCUGAGUAAAGUGGCGCACGGGUGAGUAACACGUGAAUGAUCUACCUCCGAGUGGGGAAUAACUGAGAGAAAUCUUAGCUAAUACCGCAUAACACUUACGAGUCAAAGCAGCAAUGCGCUUGGAGAGGAGUUCGCGGCCGAUUAGUUAGUUGGCGGGGUAAUGGCCCACCAAGACGAUGAUCGGUAUCCGGCCUGAGAGGGCGCACGGACACACUGGAACUGAAACACGGUCCAGACUCCUACGGGAGGCAGCAGUGGGGAAUUUUGCGCAAUGGGGGAAACCCUGACGCAGCAACGCCGCGUGGAGGAUGAAAUAUCUUGGUAUGUAAACUCCUUUCGAUGGGGAAGAUUAUGACGGUACCCAUAGAAGAAGCCCCGGCUAACUUCGUGCCAGCAGCCGCGGUAAUACGAGGGGGGCAAGCGUUGUUCGGAUUUAUUGGGCGUAAAGGGUGCGUAGGCGGUUUGGCAAGUCUGAUGUGAAAUCUAUGGGCUCAACCCAUAGUCUGCAUCAGAAACUGCCGGGCUUGAGUAUGGGAGAGGUGAGUGGAAUUUCCGGUGUAGCGGUGAAAUGCGUAGAUAUCGGAAGGAACACCUGUGGCGAAAGCGGCUCACUGGACCAUAACUGACGCUGAUGCACGAAAGCUAGGGGAGCAAACAGGAUUAGAUACCCUAGUAGUCC